UACGUAGGGUGCAAGCGUUAAUCGGAAUUACUGGGCGUAAAGCGUGCGCAGGCGGUUUUAUAAGUCUGAUGUGAAAUCCCCGGGCUCAACCUGGGAACUGCAUUGGAGACUGUAAAGCUAGAGUGUGUCAGAGGGGGGUAGAAUUCCACGUGUAGCAGUGAAAUGCGUAGAUAUGUGGAGGAAUACCGAUGGCGAAGGCAGCCCCCUGGGAUAACACUGACGCUCAUGCACGAAAGCGUGGGGAGCAAACAGG
rnacentral:rRNA from 1 species